AAAGAAGCUAGUCCUUUAAAAACAUCGGUGAAAAGGGCAAUUAAUAAUUUGCCUUUGUACCUAUUUGCACUGAAGGUGGUGUCUUCUUCAAGAACUGAACAAUUCAAUGCACACAAAACCUUCAAGCUAUGAGAUGAUGAUAGCAACCUAGAAACAGCUGUUGGACCAAUAUCAGUUCUUGAAACAUCUAACCCAAUCAGUUUAGGCAGCUUAUGCCAAAGAUGUGAAAUCACACCCCAUUUCAUAUUUGACGUCCCAGCAACUGAGAGGAAACAAACAGAUACUACGUUUCCCAAUGCUACCUCAUCAACAUUAAGACAGUCCAAGAACCCAAUAUCAAUCAAAUU
rnacentral:misc_RNA from 1 species